rnacentral:rRNA from 1 species
GACGAACGCUGGCGGCGUGCUUAACACAUGCAAGUCGAACGGAAAGGCCCUGCUUUUGUGGGGUGCUCGAGUGGCGAACGGGUGAGUAACACGUGAGUAACCUGCCCUUGACUUUGGGAUAACUUCAGGAAACUGGGGCUAAUACCGGAUAUGAGCUCCUGCUGCAUGUUGGGGGUUGGAAAGUUUCGGCGGUUGGGGAUGGACUCGCGGCUUAUCAGCUUGUUGGUGGGGUAGUGGCUUACCAAGGCUUUGACGGGUAGCCGGCCUGAGAGGGUGACCGGCCACAUUGGGACUGAGAUACGGCCCAGACUCCUACGGGAGGCAGCAGUGGGGAAUAUUGCACAAUGGGCGGAAGCCUGAUGCAGCAACGCCGCGUGCGGGAUGACGGCCUUCGGGUUGUAAACCGCUUUCGCCUGUGACGAAGCGUGAGUGACGGUAAUGGGUAAAGAAGCACCGGCUAACUACGUG